GACGAACGCUGGCGGCGUGCUUAACACAUGCAAGUCGAACGAAGAGCGAUGGAAGCUUGCUUCUAUCACUCUUAGUGGCGAACGGGUGAGUAACGCGUAAUCAACCUGCCCUUCAGAGGGGGACAACAGUUGGAAACGACUGCUAAUACCGCAUACGAUCUGACCUCGGCAUCGAGGAUAGAUGAAAGGUGGCCUCUACAUGUAAGCUAUCACUGAAGGAGGGGAUUGCGUCUGAUUAGCUAGUUGGAGGGGUAACGGCCCACCAAGGCGAUGAUCAGUAGCCGGUCUGAGAGGAUGAACGGCCACAUUGGGACUGAGACACGGCCCAGACUCCUACGGGAGGCAGCGGUGGGGAAUCUUCCGCAAUGGACGAAAGUCUGACGGAGCAACGCCGCGUGAGUGAUGACGGCCUUCGGGUUGUAAAGCUCUGUUAAUCGGGACGAAAGGCCUUUUUGCGAAUAGUGAGAAGGAUUGACGGUACCGGAAUAGAAAGCCACGGCUAACUACGUG
rnacentral:rRNA from 1 species